UGUGAUGAUGAUCGAUAAGACUAGAGUCUCUGACUGCAGUAUGAAGCUCUUUUCACAGUGUACUGAACA
rnacentral:snoRNA from 1 species